rnacentral:rRNA from 1 species
UACGAAGGGGGCUAGCGUUGCUCGGAUUUACUGGGCGUAAAGGGCGCGUAGGCGGACAGUUUAGUCAGAGGUGAAAGCCCGGGGCUCAACCUCGGAAUUGCCUUUGAUACUGGCUGUCUUGAGUACGGGAGAGGUGUGUGGAACUCCGAGUGUAGAGGUGAAAUUCGUAGAUAUUCGGAAGAACACCAGUGGCGAAGGCGGUGAGCUGGGCAGUUGCUGACACUGAGGCGCGACAGCGUGGGAGCAAACAGG